rnacentral:rRNA from 1 species
AACGAACGCUGGCGGCGUGGAUAAGACAUGCAAGUCGAGCGCGACUUAUUUUGUAGCAAUACAGGGUAAGUUGAGCGGCGAAAGGGUGCGUAACACGUGGGCAAUUUGCCAUAAAGUUGGGGAUAACUCGCUGAAAGGCGAGCUAAUACCGAAUGUGAUUAUCUGGAGGCAUCUUUGGAUAAUUAAAGUUGGGGAUCGUAAGACCUGACGCUUUAUGAUGAGCCCGCGGCCUAUCAGCUAGUUGGUGAGGUAACGGCUCACCAAGGCUAAGACGGGUAGCUGGUCUGAGAGGACGACCAGCCACACUGGAACUGAGACACGGUCCAGACACCUACGGGUGGCAGCAGUCGAGAAUUUUUCUCAAUGGGGGAAACCCUGAAGGAGCGACGCCGCGUGGGGGAUGAAUGGCUUCGGCCCGUAAACCCCUGUCAUUUGCGAACAAAUUGCUUCACCUAACACGUGAAUCAUUGAUUGUAGCGGAAGAGGAAGGGACGGCUAACUCUGUGCCAGCAGCCGCGGUAACAC